CCGUCGCUCGCUCGAUAGGAAAUUGCGGUGCCUAGAAGAUCGAAGGAGCGCCGAGCAGUUGGAGAGUGUGAGAUGACAAUGGGAACACCGACGCAGGCAUACGGUGAGCCAUGUUACUGGGAUAACAGAUAUGCCAAUGAAUCAGGGCCCUUUGAUUGGUAUCAGAAGUAUGCUUCCUUGGCUCCCCUCAUCAAUCUCUACACCCCUCGCCACCACCAUCCUCGAAUCCUCGUCAUUGGAUGUGGCAACUCAGCGUUUAGCGAAGGAAUGGUAGACGAUGGAUACGAGGAUGUGGUAAACGUCGAUAUAUCCUCUGUGGUUAUUGAAGCUAUGAAGAAGAAGUACUCUAAUCGUCCUCAAUUGAAAUAUAUUCAAAUGGAUGUCCGAGAU
rnacentral:misc_RNA from 1 species